CAUCGUUUCACUUCUGCAGGUAUUGAUCAGUGUACACGGCUGAUAACUUAUAACUUAUAACUUUCCAUUUUGAACUAUCAGAUGUAUAAUAUACAACUCUGUCUUACUUGUCAUUACUAAACUCAUACGCUUGUUUAUAAAUAACAUUUCUGGUGUAAAGAAUAUUAUUCAUAAAAAUAUAAAUAAUAUCCAAAAAAUAAGAUUUGA
rnacentral:lncRNA from 1 species